ACUGCAUUGUGGUCAAUUUUUUGAAAAGAAAAACAGUAAAGUGUGAAAGAGAAAGAGGAAAAUUGCAAAGUGUGAGAAAAAAGCAAAGAGAGGAAAGAGGAAAAAGAACUAAGUGUGAAAAAAACAAAGUGUAAGUGGACAGAGGAAAAAGAACAAAGUGUGAAAAUAGCAAAGUGUGAGACAAGAGGAAAAAGAACACUGCUUUCCUCAUGUGUUUGUUUGUUUGUUUCAGAUGCUGAGAGACCAAGCGGUGGACGUCCAGAGAGCAGAGAUGCUGAGAGACCCAGCGGUGGACGUCCAGAGAACAGAGAUGCUGAGAGAGCAAGCGGUGGACGUCCAGAGAACAGAGAUGCUGAGAGACCAAGCGGUGGACGUCCAGAGAGCAGAGGGGGUGGCAGGUUGACAGAGAAAGACAGAGUGGUCGACAUGUUGAAGACAACCGAGCUGAUUGUUUGUGUUCUGGAGCUGCCACAGACUUGCUGUGGAAGCACUUCUUCUUCUUCUUCUUCUUCUUCUUCUUCUUCUUCUUCUUCUUCUUCUUCUUCUUCUUCUUCUUCUUCUUCUUCUUCUUCUUCUUCUUCUUCUUCUUCUUCUUCUUCUUCUUCUUCUUCUUCUUCUUCUUCUUCUUCUUCUUCUUCUUCUUAAUGGAAUUUCAGCCUAAAUAAAAAAAAAAAAAAAAAAAAAAAAAAAAGAGUCCAAACUGCAUUGUGGUCAAUUUUUUGAAAAGAAAAACAGUAAAGUGUG
ensembl:lncRNA